rnacentral:rRNA from 1 species
CUACGGGGGGCUACAGUCACGAAUCUUCCGCAAUGGCCGAAAGGCUGACGGAGGGACGCCGCGUGCAUGAAGAAGCCCUUCGGGGUGUAAAGUGCUUUUCUGUUGGAUGAAUAAAUGACAGUACUUCAGGAAUAAGGGGCUGCUAACCUCGUGCCAGCAGCAGCGGUAAUACGAGGGGCCCCGAGCGUUAUCCGGAUUUAUUGGGCGUAAAGGGUCCGUAGGCGGUUUGUCGCAUCUCCUGUUAAAUCUUCAGGCUCAACCUGAAGGCCGCGGGAGAGAUGGAUAAACUAGAGGGCGGAAGAGGCAAGUGGAAUGGCUGGUGUAGGGGUUAAAUCCGUUAAUAUCAGCUGGAACACCAAAAGUGAAGACAGCUUGCUGGGACGAUUCUGACGCUAAGGGACGAAAGCGUGGGGAGCAAAGAGGAUUAGAUACCCUAGUAGUC